CAAGUUGAGCGCUGAAGGUUGGUACUUGUACCGACUGGAUGAGCAGCGAACGGGUGAGUAACGCGUGGGGAAUCUGCCUUUGAGCGGGGGACAACAUUGGGAAACGAAUGCUAAUACCGCAUAACACCUUUAAACACAAGUUUUAAGUUUGAAAGAUGCAAUUGCAUCACUCAAAGAUGAUCCCGCGUUGUAUUAGUGGGUUGGUGAGGUAAAGGCUCACCAAGGCGAUGAUACAUAGCCGACCUGAGAGGGUGAUCGGCCACUUUGGGACUGACACACGGCCCAAACUCCUACGGGAGGCAGCAUUUGGGAAUCUGCGGCAAUGGACGAAAGUCUGACCCAGCAACGCCGCGUGAGGGAAUAAGGUUUUCGGAUCGUAAAACUCUGUUGGAAGAGAAGAACGUUGGUGAGAGUGGAAAGCUCAUCAAGUGACGGUAACUACCCAGAAAGGGACGGCUAACUACGUGCCAGCAGCCCCGGUAAUACGUAGGUCCCGAGCGUUGUCCGGAUUUAUUGGGCGUAAAGCGAGCGCAGGUGGUUUAUUAAGUCUGGUGUAAAAGGCAGUGGCUCAACCAUUGUAUGCAUUGGAAACUGGUAGACUUGAGUGCAGGAGAGGAGAGUGGAAUUCCAUGUGUAGCGGUGAAAUGCGUAGAUAUAUGGAGGAACACCGGUGGCGAACGCUGGCUCUCUGGCCUGUAACUGACACUGAGGCUCGAAAGCGUGGGGAGCAAACAGGAUUAGAUACCCUGGUACUCCACGCCUUAAACCAUGAGUGCUAUGCGUAUGGAGCUAUACUUUCUCUGUAUCCCCGCUAACGCAAUAAGCUCUCCGCCUGGGGAGUACGACCGCAAGGUUGAUACUCANAGGAAUUGACGCGGCCCCGCACAAGCGGUGGAGCAUGUUGCUUUAAUUCGAAGCAACGCGU
rnacentral:rRNA from 1 species